rnacentral:lncRNA from 1 species
UAUUAAUCUUUUUUUGAUAAAAAUAAUAUAAAAAAUUUUAAAAAAAAUUAAAAGUUUUAUGAUUCACGCAAAAUUUAACAUUAAAGAUAUUAAAAGAAAGUAAAAAAAAUUGUAAUUUUUAUUUUGGAAUUACAUCCUUUUUACGAAAAAAAAAUAGGUAUUUUUGCAAUGAUUUCUUUCUAGCCACCUCUUAUCACACCUUUAUUAAAAAUGAACGACUCAAUAAAGUCUCGCACUCUGUGGAUGGUCAAUCAAAGUAGAAUGGUCAACCAAAAUACCAAUUUCGAAGAGAAUUUAGGGAGUUUAAAUUCUACUAACUCAACAUUAGGUAAAGGCAACACGUUUUUUUUUAAAUAAAACUUUAGACUUACGCAGACUUUGUUCCAGCACAAGAUUCGGGACAAGAUUACAAGAUUAGUACAAGUUUGAUUGAAAGUAAUGAUUUUGACGUGAUUGAAAGUGAAGAACAACCUGGUUAUUUAGAACUAGAACGUGAGUGUUUGCUGGAGCACCUAGAGCAACAAGAAAAUGCUCAAAAUCUUAAUAGUUGUCCAGUCGAACAAUGCGAGAAACCAUCAUUAGGAGAACGCAGAGAUUUUCAAAUAGCUUCAACUCUUAAAGAACCUUUGGAUGCACAUGAGUCACAACUGAAUGAAUCUUUCUCAGAAAACGAUGACGAUUAGGUGAAAGAUCCUAAUUAUGACACAGAUUCAUCUACUUCUUCAUCGGACUCGAGUUCAUCAGAUUCAACUUCGAGUACGAGUAGUUCCUCAGCCUCCAGCUCGUGCCCUAAUGGGUCUCACCAUACUAGGAGGGCGUCAGUCGUUGACAGCCAGCCUGACCCAAGAUUUUAAUGCUCAAGAAGCUUCCAUUAUUGCUUCUGAUAAUGAUUCUACCCUAAAAAAAACUACCAAAGGAAAAAAAGAGUAUAAGAUGUAGAUAAUUGGAAAAGUAACGCGGCAAAGAAGCUAAGAAACUUAGGGUUAGCCUAUACCUCAAGAGCUAAGUCGGCAUCAAAAAAAUCGAAGCCCGCCAAAUAAAACCUCCUUGCGGGAUUAAAUGCCGAUUUAGAUGUUUCACAAAAAUUGACAAAACACAAAGAGCCACUAUUUUUAAAACAUACUGGGAUCUCGGAGAUAUAAAUAGACAAAGAGACUUUAUUAACAGGUGCCUAAAACCAAUCAAACCUACCUAUAGAUACAGCAAAACUAUAAAGCCUAGAAAAUAUAACAAUGCAUUUUACUUUUAUAUUAAUAGUGAUGAACCAAUUCGUGUGUGUAAAUAUUUUUUUAUGGCCACUUUAGAUAUUAACACCAGAAAUAUAAGGACAGUAAUUGAAAAACUAAAUAUGGGUUCUGUCAACCCAGAUUUAAGGGGUAAGCAUCUAAAGCACCGAAAAGUUGACGAAGCUUUUAAAAUCGGAGUUCGUGAGCAUAUUAAAGGCAUCCCUCGCAUCGAGAGUCACUAUCUGCGAAAGCAGACCACGAAAGAAUUUAUUGAUGAUGGGAAAACCCUUGCAGAUUUAUACAGAGACUAUAAAAAAAGCUGCCAAGAUAAAAAUCUUCCUUUUGCAAACUUAGUAAUGUAUUCAAAGAUUUUUCAAUACUGAGUUUAACAUAAGCUUCUUUAUACCAAAAAAAGAUCGCUGUGAGUUAUGUGAUAGUUACGAAAUAGCGACCGGUGAAGGUAAAAAAUCAUUUAGUAGAGUAAAUUUGGUAAGAAAAGUCGCUUAGUUCUCGAGAAAAAAAAACCGGCGUACAACCAAAGGAGACUUGGUGGAAUCCAUUAAUAAUGUAAUUGUGCGUAUGAAACCUUUUUUUACGACAUUUUUCGGUGGUCGAGAUGUUUUUUAUUUCGCAAAAACUAAAAAAAAACGUUUUUUAAGAAAA